AAAUAUUUUAGGCAUAUUAUUCACCUCUCCCAGUCAAGCAAGAGUGGUAUCAUUAUGUAAAAAAGAAAUGGUCACACAGACAUAAUUUUAUUUGUAUUUGCCUAUGAUUAAGGCUGUCAUUAUCCUCUGAUGGUUCAAUUUUAUUAUACAAUUUAGAUCUGAAACAUGAGUCUGAAAGUUUCCACUGGAGUGAGUUAAUAGGGUAUCCAAUGUCCUGUCUGCUUCAAGAAAAUUAAUGGUAGAAAUUUUAGCAUAAUGACAGGGAGAAACCCAGAACAUUAAAUGUGCUAAGCCUCUUUGCUGAUGUCCCUGCCCAUUGGUGUAGGACAGAGUCUGGGGUGCAGCUGUGUGCCACCUGCUCAAGUUACAGGGCACAGAGGAGCAGUGGGGAGAGGGGCAAGCUCUGUGAUGGCCUAUUCUGCUCAACUGACACUAAUGUGUUUUGAUGGCAGGGUCACAGGUGAAAUUAGAGACCUUUUUUUUCCUAAUCUAGGGUAAAAUAAUCUUUCCAAUAACAUAUGGGUACAACUGUCAGGCCGUCUGGCUUUAACCAUAAAGAUGAGGAUAUGCAAAAAGCAGAAAAUGCAAUGACAAUAAAACAGAAUUCACUCAAAUAAGCACUUGUUUUCUGUUCUAGAAAGGAUGAAUACUGUGCCUCUAUUGGAUUCCAUCUGGAUGUCAGGGCACUCCUGAAAAUCAAUAUUUUUAUACCAAAAGAUCACCCACAAACCAAACCUAGGGAAUAUUAAUUAAUUGGCAAAUGCUCCUUUGAAGAUGCCUUCGUAAAACAUUUAGCAUAUGCUUCAAAAUCCUUUGCUGAGCAGAUUUUCCUUAGUCUUGGGAAUAGAAAGACAGCUGUGCAGCUGGGCGGGUGGACAGCAACACUGAAACUGAAGGGAUGCACAGUGUCUUUCUCUGCCUCAGAGCAUCACGGCAGGUCCACUCUCUGACUCAGAUCAUAUUUCCCUGGAUGUGGUUUUUUGUAAUGUGUGCUGCUGUGAGAGCUGUCUUCAAAGUGCAGAUGAGUUUCACCCAUGCUGCCAAGAUGGCUUUAUCCUCAGCUCCCUUUGAAUUACAUGCUUGUCACUCUGAUAAUAAUUUUCUGACCUCUGAAUCACAACAUUAAAGCAACUCUGUCU
rnacentral:lncRNA from 1 species